rnacentral:misc_RNA from 1 species
AAGUCGUAACAAGGUUUCCGUAGGUGAACCUGCGGAAGGAUCAUUAACAUAUCUUUUACUCUUUGGGUUUUGGUUUUGUUUGAGUUAAAUCUUUCGAUUUGAUUCAAAUAAUUCCAUUCCUCAUUCCACCCCAAAUGUGCAUUGUGUUGUGCUUUGUAACAAAAGCACUUCUUUUUCUCAACUUUUCCAACCAUAAAACCCCUUUUUAUUACUUCUAGACUGACUUUAAACCACUUGAUUCGUACACUUCAUACUGUACGAUGACCAAUCAUAAUACAACUCUUAGCAACGGAUAUCUAGGCUCUC